UACGUAGGGCGCAAGCGUUGUCCGGAAUUAUUGGGCGUAAAGAGCUCGUAGGCGGCUUGUCACGUCGGGUGUGAAAGCCCGGGGCUUAACCCCGGGUCUGCAUUCGAUACGGGCUGGCUGGAGUGUGGUAGGGGAGAUCGGAAUUCCUGGUGUAGCGGUGAAAUGCGCAGAUAUCAGGAGGAACACCGGUGGCGAAGGCGGGUCUCUGGGCAACAACUGACGCUGAGGAGCGAAAACGUGGGGAGCGAACAGG
rnacentral:rRNA from 1 species